AUGACAGAAAACAUGCUCCAAAGUCAACGCUCCGAAAAGAAUCCCAUGAACCAGGCCUCAGAUACCCCGGGGUUCUCUCAGGCCUUGUUAUUCCAGAGAGAGGAAGAGCACGCCCAUCAGGAGCCAAUCACGUCCGAGGCUCUAGUGUUUCCCUUUGCUAAUCUUCUUGCAAGUCCUUGGUUGAUUCCCAAGCCCAUUCCCCAGAACAGCUAUUUCAAAACUCCAUCACUUCCCCAGUCUCCUGAAAGUCCUCCUCUUUCUGUCCCCAUUGGCUCUCAACAGAUGGCGUGUCUCAUACCGAGGACAUUGAGGUGAUCAAGUGAGAACUUGCCAAAUUUCCUACUCUGUAGCCAAUGACUUGAUCUGUUUCUACACCCCACUCCUCUCUUUGUUUAAGUCUCACCUCUCCACCAGUCUUGUUAAUCAGAUUUGCCUUCAGCUUUUCUAGGUGGAAUCACAUCUUAAGAUGAAGAUUAGAUUCUUAAGUCUGCACAUAGACAAAAGUCACAUAUAGUCAAAAUUACCCUAGUAGAUUUCUUACAUUACCCACAACAGCAGAUCAAAUGUGGCUUUGAGAAUAUAGUCCUGGAAAGUAAUAUAUAGGUGUGAGUAUAUCAAGCAGACAGCAAUAUACAGGUAUAAGGCAUGUAUAAUGUAUAAGGCUACACAGAGUGCAUGGUAAUGUAUAGCAUGAAAUUCCAAAGAGGGAUUACGUUGAGAAAACUACUUAAGUAAGCUUUUUUGGAACCUUGAACAAACUAGUGAUAUUCUGCCUUCCCAUUUGCUGUCCUCAUCCUAUUUCAUGAAUAACUUGAUCAGUUCCUCUCUAGUCCGUGGUUCUUCAGUUUCCUUUUCCAGAUUGUAGUAAAGCCACCGCUACCCACUAGUAUGACACGGCAUUUCAUUCUCUGUAUGCGUUCUGGAAAGUCCUGUGUCCUCCGUAUCUCCAUUAGUGGUUUCACUGAGUCUUCCCUGCCAGAAUCCCUGCCUUUAGGCACCUUCACUGACUGCAUCGGUCCACUGGAUUUCCAGCAUGCUUUAAGAAUGAUUUCUCAUUCUGUCUGCCUCCUGUUCCAUUAGAAGAUUAAACUUGAGUGCAGAUCAGAGAAAUCUAAAAUAACAGUGGCUUAAUAGAGAAGUUUCUGUCCCAUGUCUCUCAUAAAAGAAGCCCAAGAGGAAGCAGUGCAGAGCAUUUUGAUGGUUCGUCAAGGACCCAGGCUUCCUUUCUGCCCUGCCUUUCUAUGAAUAGUUCGCAGCUUCCCUCCUUAGGGCUGCUGCAGCUCCAGCCCCUGCAUCCACAUUCCAGGUAGCCCGUGUUCAGGAAAGUUAUCCAAAACUUAGAAAUAAAGCUGACUGUGCUGUACUGAAUCACUCAGUCAUGUCCUACUCUUUGUGACCAAAUGGAUUGUAGCCCUCCAGGCUCCUCUGUCCAUGGGGAUUCUCCAGGCGAGAAUACUGGAGUGGGUUGUCAUGCCCUCCUCCAGGGAAUCUUCCCAACCCAGGGAUCUGACCCAAGUCUCCCGCAUUGCAGACAGAGUCUUUACCAUCUGAGCGACCAGGGAAGCCUGUAUGUCCUACGAGUGUCUUAUGAGAGCACUGUCACUUUCCCCCAAGGGAAAUCUCACUUGGAGAAUGACCCUUUAGUUACUCUUGAUUAGCAUUCAGACUCUACAGUUAGGUGUUAAUUUGUUAAAAAAAAAAAGUAAUAAGAUGUAAAUGAAGUUUUCUCAGGAUGUAUAGUUUUAUUACCUUGAAGAACAUUUGCUGCUUUUUUAUCUUAGCAUUCUUAUUCGAGGAUUUCUUUUUUUCCCUUACUGAACCAGCUAUGUCAUUUUGCUGGCUCCUCUCAUUAAUGAAUCAAUUACCCUGUGGCAUGUGCUUAGAUAAUGUUUGGGAAUUACAUUUUUAACAUUUAUAGGUUUCAGUAGCAGGAAGGACAGAAGGGCUUUCUCCCAGCUAAGUCAGCAGUCUCCCUAAAUGUUCGACUGAAAAUCUCUACUCGUAUCUCUUGGGCCAGAAUUUAGUCACUAGGCUACAUCCAGCUGCAAGAGAGGCUGGAGAAUGUGGCCUUAAGCUAAGUACAUCAGUACCCUGAAUACAAUCAGGGUUCUCUUACUUGGUAGGCAGAGAUUAGAGAGCCAGACAGCUAGUAAUCUUUGUCACAAAAAUAUAGACCCAAUGAUUAUACCUCCUUUCACCUGUAUCUUUGCUUCUUUUCUGUCUUGGCUUCCUUUCAGCAGCCUAAAAGCAUACUCAGAGAGCUCUGACCCCUUGGUCCUGAAUCCUUCUCCAGCUAUCGUGAUGACAUUCUCCUUCGCCCCUAGUCAGGUCUGAGAACGAACAACCCCGCGCGGCUUCCCUCUCUCACUGCCCCAUCCUCUUUCGUCCACUUGCAUCGGCUACUGUUGCCCUCGCUGCACAUGCCCUGCCCUCACAGGCUUCUGCUGGUCCUGCAAACAUCAGACUCAGAUCUACUGCCUCUUGCACAAAGCCAUAUGUAAUAAACAACGACUGAAUUAUUCAGUGUGUUAGUCGGUCUUUCUCAGUACAGAGUUGUUUUCUAUUCUUCAACGCAAAAGUCAUAUUUUCAUUUCAUUAUGGGCUAAACCGUUUCUUUUGACUUGUUCAUGAGAAGCUAAUUCUCAGACAUUGCUUUGGAUCUGUACAAAAAUACAUUGUAACUUCUAAAAAAUUAACCAAAUGGCACACUUUUGGAAUGAACUUUUUGUAAACUUAGGUCUGUUUAUUCUGUUCCCUUGAAUUCUUAUUGUUCAGUUGCUAAGUUGUGUGCAGCUCUUCUGACUCUGUGGACUGUAGCCCACCAAGCUCCUCUGUCCAUGGAAUUUCCCAGACAAGAAUACUAGAAAGUGUUAGUCACUCAGUCGUGUCCAACUCUUUGCGACCCCAGGGACUGUAGCCCACCAGGCUCCUCUGUCCACAGGAUUUCCCAGAUAAGAAUACUAGAGUGGGUUGCCAUUUCCUCUUGCAGGGGAUCUCCCUGACCCAGGGAGUGAACCUGCAUCUCCUGCACUGAUAAGCAGACUCUACCACUGAACCUCCAGGGAAGCACCCCUGCCCAUCUAUGGAAUAGAAAAAAGAAAUUGGAUGUUUGCUGCUAAUAAAAGCAUAUUUUCCCUUAGAUUGCAUCUAAGGCACAUCAGAUCUGUGACAAGCUGCUUACCUGGCUAACUCAUAGAAGUAAACUACCCAUUUUGAAACCGCCAAGGGAAAAACAUCAAUAAGAUUCCAGAUAAUGCAUUUUCCUCUGUUGCUGAACCUCCCGCUUGAUUCUGCCACAAAGCAUGCAUCUAGGUAUUUUCCAGUUCAAUUUUGCUCUAAACCAGAGAUCAUAAUGUGCCAAACAGAUGUUUAGCGCUCUGUCAGCCUCUCCCUCCUUGUGUGCUUCAUUCCCCAUGUGGGGCUGCUCUUCAGGGAUGGGGGCUGGGACUGCGGCAGCCCAGCUGGCUAGGGAUCACUGGCAUGAUGUGGUUAUACUGCCCCAAUGUGGCAGAUUUCACUAUAUUUCACAUGCUGCCUCAUAUUUUCUCUAGUGCUUCCUGGAGAAACAACCCACUAAUGAGGAACAGUUUCUGAGUGAGUACAUCCUUAUUGCCAAAUUCAGACUUAAACUGAAGAAAGUGGGGAAAACCACUAGACCAUUCAGGUAUGAGCUAAAUCAAAUCCCUUAUGAUUAUACAGUGGAAGUGAAAAAUAGAUUUAAGGGACUAGAUCUGAUGGACAGAGUGCCUGAGGAACUAUGGAUGGAGGUUCGUGACAUUGUACAGGAGACGGAUCAAGACCAUCCUCAAGAAAAAGAAAUGCAAAAAAGCAAAAUGGCUGUCUGAGGAGGCCUUACAAAUACCUGUGAAAAGAAGAGAAGUGAAAGCAAAGGAGAAAAGGAAAGAUAUACCCAUUUGAAUGCAGAGUUUCAAAGAAUAGCAAUGAGAGAUAAGAAAGCCUUCUUCAGUUAUCAGUGCAAAGAAAUAGAUGGAAGAACAGAAUGGGAAAGACUAGAGAUCUCUUCAAGAAAAUUAGAGAUACCAAGGGAACAUUUCAUGCAAAGAUGGGCACAAUAAAGGACAGAAAUGGUAUGGACCUGACAGAAGCAGAAGAUAUUAAGAAGAGGUGGCAAGAAUACACAGAAGAACUGUAAAAAAAAGAUCUUCAUGACCCAGAUAAUCACAAUGGUGUGAUCACUCACCUAAAGCUAGAUAUUCUGGAAUGUGAAGUGGCCCUUAGGAAGCAUCACUACGAACAAAGCUAGUGGAGGUGAUAGAAUUCCAGUUGAGCUAUUUCAAAUCCUGAAAGAUGAUGCUGUGAAAGUGCUGCACUCAAUAUGUCAGGAAAUUUGGAAACCUCAGCAGUGGCCACAGGUCUGGAAAAGGUCCGUUUUCAUUCCAGUCCCAAAGAAAGGCAAUGCCAAAGAAUGCUCAAACUACCACACAAUUGCACUCAUCUCACACACUAGUAAAGUAAUGCUCAAAAUUCUCCAAGCCAG
ensembl:lincRNA